rnacentral:tRNA from 1 species
GGUAGCGUGGCCGAGCGGUCUAAGGCGCUGGUUUUAGGCACCAGUCUCAAGAGGCGUGGUUUCGAAUUCCACUGCUGCCA